UACGUAGGGCGCAAGCGUUGUCCGGAAUUAUUGGGCGUAAAGAGCUCGUAGGCGGUUUGUCGCGUCGGAUGUGAAAAUCUAGGGCUCAACCCUGGACCUGCAUUCGAUACGGGCAGACUAGAGUUCGGUAGGGGAGACUGGAAUUCCUGGUGUAGCGGUGAAAUGCGCAGAUAUCAGGAGGAACACCGGUGGCGAAGGCGGGUCUCUGGGCCGAUACUGACGCUGAGGAGCGAAAGCGUGGGGAGCAAACAGG
rnacentral:rRNA from 1 species